UAUGGGUUUACUAGAUUAUGUCAGUUCUUCUACCGAUCGAACUUCAUCAAGUUUAAUCUUUGAGGCAUUAGUUUUUUCAUCAAAAAACUCUUUUUCUAAAAAGAUAGCCCUAUUACUGACGAACACCUUCUGUUCGUCAGCAAGGUAGAAAUAAUAUCCCUUGGUCUCUUUUGAGUAUCCUAUAAAUAGAUAUUUGUCAGAUCUAGGU
rnacentral:lncRNA from 1 species